CCCUUAGAUGUUCUGGGCAGCACGCGCGCUACAAUGGUCUUCGCAAACGGAUGCAUUCUCGAAGGAGAAUGCCAAUCUUGGAAUCUAUGCCUUGGUCGGGACAGUUGCUUGCAAUUUUUCGACUCGAACCAGGAAUUCCUUGUAAUCGUGAUUCAUCACAUCACGAUGAAUACGUCCCUGCCCUUUGUACACACCGCCCUUCGCUCCUACCGAUCGAAGAGUUAGGUGAAUUGUUUUGAUCGAUAAGAUUUGACUAUGGUCAACUCUCGUUGUGAAAUUCUGUGAAUCUGACUGUUUAGAGGAAGGAAAAGUCGUAACA
rnacentral:rRNA from 1 species